UGGAGGUCUGAGAAGGUGUAAAGGCUUGAACAUGGUGCUUUUACAACUGGUUAUAGCCUCCAAAAUGAAUUGGACAGACAGAGUAGCUGGUUCCAGGGUGUCUGCCUUGAGCAGGUGCUGUUUGCCCCACAGAUGAGUUUGUCUACACAUA
ensembl:snoRNA small nucleolar RNA SNORA47